CCUGCGGAAGGAUCAUCAUCGUUUUAUCAAAAACCUAUUCGAAAGCAACUCGCUUUUGAAUACCUCUGUGAACCUAACAACUAAAAGGGAGGUGGACGCGCAAGCGUUCUUAAAUGGGUGGAUGGGCACAUCGAUCUCGGAGCUGAAAUAUCGCUUCAUUUCGCCAUUGCCCGGCCUCUCGAGUUUUAUACUCUUUUAUUUUUCACGUUUAACUUUGUGUCAAAAAAGUUACAAUAAGAUAACAUAACUUUUAACGGUGGAUCUCUUGGCUCGUGCAUCGAUGAAGAACGCAGCCAGCUGCGAUACGUAGUGUGAAUUGCAGAAUUCAGUGAAUCAUCGAAUCUUUGAACGCAAAUGGCGCUCUUGGCUAUACCGGGAGCAUGUCUGUCUGAGUGUUGGUUUACAAAACAUGAUUGUGUGUAUCAUCACGCGAUCGAUUGAGGCUGUCGCGUCGUUGUUUCCAGCAAACUAACGUGCGUCCCUCGAAGUGCAGCACGUUCGACGCUAUUGUCGUGCGAACAAGGCCCAAAGAACUUUGCCCUUGCGAGCACGACGUCUGUCGUUCGUCCCUUUAUCAUCUAUUAACCUCAGAUCAGGCAAGAUUACCCGCUGAAUUUAAGCAUAUUACUAAGCGGAGGAAAAGAAACUAACAAGGAUUCCCCCAGUAAUGGCGAAUGAAGAGGGAAUAGCUCAACUUGAA
rnacentral:rRNA from 1 species